rnacentral:snoRNA from 1 species
AGUUCAUGAUGAGGGACCUUCCUCAACAACUCCUUGUAAUGCUCCCAUGACAUACAAUGACUCUCCAUCCCGUUGAAAGAAAGUGGUGAUAUCAUUCCUCAUAUU